rnacentral:lncRNA from 1 species
GCCCAAACAAAAGAUAAGUCUUUGUUGAUAGUUGUGUUUUAACAAAACCGCAUACACUUUGGUUAAAGAUUUCUUAGUUUGAAACUGAGGAAAGUAGGUGAUGUAUCUUGAUUAAAAGUAUGGAUAAUGCACAAGUGGCUGUAACUUAGAAAAACAGUGUCAACUUAACGCCUAAGCAUACAACAAAAUCAAGACCUGGUUAUAGUUAAUUACUUACGUAUAUAGAAAUACAAAACACAAGCAUACGUUUUUGAGAGAUAUAGGGAUGAAGAAAAGGAGUGUGGUGAUAAUUAUUGUAGUGUUGGUGAUGGCUACCAUGGAACAAGAAGCACAAGGAAGUGACUGUUUUUUAUUGCUUGAACAAGUACCAUAAACAGGAUCCGAUCCUCCUUUCUGUAAGAAAAUAUUGUUUCGGCGACUGUGCUUUUCAAUGCAUGUUCUUCAAGAGUCGACCAAGCAAACAUCUCGCUGAAAUAACAUCUCUACGGGAUACAUGCCCCCGACCACCUAAUGCUCCCAUGACAAUCAUCACAGUAAUUAUUUAUUUUGUAUUUGCGUUCAUCUUUAGACCAUUAAAACAUAGUGUUUUGUUAGAAAGAUAAAACAGCAUUUUAAUGUUUCUAUCAAACGUGUUUUGUUUAUGUAUAAUAUUGCAACUGAUAGUUGUAAGUAUAAACUUAUAAAUGUUUUCGGUUAAAACAAUCAUACGUACUCAUGUGUUUACCUUCUAGUGUUGUGCAUAUGGAGAAGUUGACCUUGUUUAUAAAUAUGUUGACAUUGCAGGAUAGAAACCUGGUAUAGGAAUGAGAAAAGGAAGAUAAUAGAUGUUCAUGGUCAAAUAUUCUUGAUUUUACAUGUGACAAAUGAUAGACCAAUAAAAUUUUCAAAUAUUUACUUAAUUAAAGAGUUUGAUAAUCAAUACGUAGAUUAGGGAUCCUAUUUAAUAUUUUCUUUCUUCACAACUCACAAGCAAUGUAACAUAAGCAUAGAAAUCCAUGCAAAAUAAAAAGCCCUUUCCAAACACAAGUAAUAAUAUUACAAGCUAUUUUCGAAAAUACUUCCAUGUCAACAACUACAAACAAAUCUAUACACUUUAGACCCAACCCUGUUUGUAUUUGCGGAAGAGGUCCUCGGUCUGAGCAUUCCUAAACGCACUACACGCAAUAACAUAGACCCAAAUAAGAACAACGACAGUGAUGAUAAGUAUGAGAUUUGCUUUACGCCAAUCUUUUCUAAGGUUUCCCAAAAGACCAGCUUUGCAUGAUUUGCAAUUGAAACAAAGCUGGCUUUGGUCGUUGUUCCAUAGGUAACAGUCUGCAUCUGCAGCCAUGUUGGUUGGGUUUUGCCACAGUGUCGGAUUCACGAAGUUGUAGCCACACGCGGUCGGCGGUUUGCAGCAACCGGACUGUGCAAUAGAAAAACAGUGUCAAAUUAAGAUGUGAUCAAAAGCUCCUCAACAAAUGAAAAUAGGAUAAUUGUUAUGAAAUAACUUAUAAUUUAUAGUAUCGAGAAAUUUAAAUAAGAGUAGAAUUUAAUACCCGUAGGAAACAAAUAACACUACUAUAAGUGAGAGAGUUUAUUAUAAGUAAGAAGAAGAAGAUGUAAUGGAGGAACUGCUCCGCGUGGAUCGAGUGGUGGAGAGGGAGGCCUGGGAACUCGACAUUGACUCCUAAGAAGAUCCGACCCGAUGAUCCGAGUCCGACGGCUCCGACGUGGAAUUUUGAGAUCGGUGGUCGAGCGAAGGAUUUCGCAGGGUUGACCAGCGAAGGGAGGAGCUGGAGGACGGAGACGCCGAGUUGGUUCGCGGCGGAUUCAGCUUCUUCGGAUGAGAUUACAAAGCUAGGCUUAUCCAUUGUUCUGGUUGACCCGGUUUGGGUCGCGUAAAUGGGUCGGGUCGGAGUUGUAGAGAUCCGGGGAAUGAGGAUCGUGAAAUGGAUGCUAACACAAUUUAUAGGUUGCAACAAAGUUGGAAACUAUAAUACGCAAAUGAAACACAAUUUGGUUUUCCACCUUCCGGUUUAAUUAUCAAGUACAAAACCAUGUUUCUUUCAAUGAAAGCAUAAAAUAACAUUUAAAUAUAAUGGGAAUUUUACAUUAACACACAAUAAUUGGAUUAUGCAAUAAAGUACUUAUAAUGUUUAAAUCGUGACCAUUCAACAUAAAUUAAAAUAUACAACUAUUUUUAUGGAUCAAAGGAACUUACCUAGUAGUUUCGACCACGUUAGGAAACUACAAUGAUCUCAAGAUGAUAUUAGUUUAAAGGUAAGAAAUGCUAAUGACAGCUUAGGUUUGAUCAUUUUGUACAUUUUAAUUCCAGAGUUAUUAAUUUAUUAUUUAAUUGAGAUCCAAAAUAAUUGUUAAUAACAUUUUUUAAUCUUUUCAUAAGACCUUGCUAUUGUUAUUAACUAGGUGCAUAGUCUCCACGCAAGCACGGAGUCGGCUACAUUAUAGGUGCAUUGUAUAGUUUUAUUUACGGGAUUUUAUUGUUUGUUUGUUUUUUUGUCUAUAAUGUGAUGGAUGAGACUUUGGAAAUUACAAAGGUUGAUGAGUUUGAUAUAAAAAUGAAUGACGAAGUCAUAUGUUGAUAUUUUUAUAUCUUAUAUGUUCAAAGUUGAGGGUGAUGGAACUUGUUAGUGUUUACUUAGGUAGUUGUUUGUAUAUAAAUCAAAUAGGGCAUGAAAAAAGAUAAUAAAUUUGGAUUUAAAAAUUUAACAAUUUAAAUAACAAUAAAAUAAAAUUUUCUUCUUAUUUCACCAAUUGUUUUUAGAAAAAAAUAGAAUUGCAAUAUAUUUAAAAAAUUUAUAACAUUUUUAGAAUUACAUACUUAGAAAAUUAUUUUAUUUAUAUUUGUUUUUUGGACUUUGUUAUAGAUGAUUUGGGAUUGACAAAAAAGUCUGAAAUAUGGCCAAAUAUGACUUUUUUAAAAAGCAUGACUUUAAAAUGUUAGGGUUUCAAAAUAGUUGGGCCUUGAAUCUGUGGUUUAGUCUGAUGCUGAAAAAACUGUUAGGACUUCAACUCCUUUUUUUCUCUAUGUUGGGAAUGUGGGCACUAAUUUCCCGAUUCAUAUAGGUAAAAUUGUUUCUUAGUUUGUAAGAUUGAAAAACGUAGAUUGAUUUUAAACAUGAUUGAUGAGAGGUUUACUUGCAUGAGCUUCGCUGCCGUGGGUGUUGAGUUUCGUCGGCGCCAUAUGUUAGACAUGCAAGAGAGAAGGUCUGAAUAUGUUAAUUUCGUGUUUUGUUUUUUCUUCUCUCGUGUUUUGUGGGUUCCACUCUUUGCUCAGGCUGUACAAAAGAUGAAGUCUGGCUAGGCCGUCUCACUUCUCUGAAGUAUUCCCUUGAUCAACCUCCCACCAACAUCUAUCUACUGAUUUGUCUUGAAGUCGAGAAGCUUCCAGAAAAAUUAGCUUCCAUCUGCUGUUCCGCUUGGAAUGGAGAAAUUAGUUCUAAAAUGCUGCAUAAAAAACAUAUUGGCAAAUGACUAAUGAUUGUCAACAACUAAUAGGUAAAAUUGUUUCUUAGUUUGUAAGAUUGAAAAACGUAGAUUGAUUUUAAACAUGAUUGAUGAGAGGUUUACUUGCAUGAGCUUCGCUGCCGUGGGUGUUGAGUUUCGUCGGCGCCAUAUGUUAGACAUGCAAGAGAGAAGGUCUGAAUAUGUUAAUUUCGUGUUUUGUUUUUUCUUCUCUCGUGUUUUGUGGGUUCCACUCUUUGCUCAGGCUGUACAAAAGAUGAAGUCUGGCUAGGCCGUCUCACUUCUCUGAAGUAUUCCCUUGAUCAACCUCCCACCAACAUCUAUCUACUGAUUUGUCUUGAAGUCGAGAAGCUUCCAGAAAAAUUAGCUUCCAUCUGCUGUUCCGCUUGGAAUGGAGAAAUUAGUUCUAAAAUGCUGCAUAAAAAACAUAUUGGCAAAUGACUAAUGAUUGUCAACAACUAUCACUAUACUAAAUAGAAAAGAAAUCAAAGUUUUUUGUUCUGCACAAACUAAAAUCUUACAACAGGGUUGUCACAGUCUUUUUUUUCAGGAGCAAGAUCUUUUUCUUUCCAGAAACUAUAGUCAAUGCAAUCCUUGGGAGAGAGCUAUUCAUGACAGAGGCUAAAAUUGCGUAGAUGAAAAAAUAGAUCAGAAACAUAGUGCAUUUUUUAGGAAUAAGAAAAAUAUGAGAUAAGUUGUUGACUAAUUACCAGUUUCAGUUGUUGGUAUGUCAUUCCACUUGAAUUUGUCUGAUUGUAAUCUUGCUUUGAGCUGCCAAAUAUGCUAUGUUUACCAGUUUUUAGGUUUGUGUUCGCAAUCACUUGGCAAUUGUCGAACAUUCUAAUCUUGACUGGAGAUUGAUCUCAGGAGCACCUGUGAUGACUUCACCAAUAAUGGUUAGUGAGAUGAAACGAAUGAGGAAUGGAUGAUCAGUUAUCGUGUACAUGCUUGAGCACCUAGCAACCUCAAAAUGAUCGACUUUCACAAUGGAACCUUCUUUCAAACAUGGCAUGUAAUGAUUAGCACGUCUGACAGGAGUAAAUCCAUAAAUCACGGAAUCUGCAAAUAAUAUUAUUCAACAAAGAAUUAGGAAAUCAAUUAAAAUAAUUAUGUUAAAUAAGUGUGAUAGAUCGAAAAUUAACUUACCUUUUCAUCAAGAAAGAGAACGUGAUUCCCACAAACUCCCUGCCUUUCUUGAAGUUCAGGGAAUCCCAUAAGCGGAAGAAGCCAAAGGCUAUGCUCUGACUAGUACGACCAAGACAGAGAGACUCGAAGGUUGAGUGACGGACGCCGGGACACCGGUUUGAGAAACUGGAGAGGCAGAGAGAAACAUUUUCUAGAAGAUGCAGAUUGGGUUCAUCAAAGAUGAGAAUCAUAUAUAUAGAGUUUACAAAGGGGAUACAAAUCAGGAACAUUUAUGAUAAAGCGAUUUAAGAUGGGGACAUGAAGAGUUCACCGGUGAAAAAAUAGAUUACGAACACACACGACAAAACUCUGUAACUCAAACUUGUUUGAGACAAUGAUGAAAAGAACCUGAACUCAUGUUAAACGACAACAGUUUACAAUAUAGGAAAACCAUAAUUGUUGCAAACUUGAGCUUUUUUUUCAAAUAACGUGAUGAAUCCCAUUAAAAAAUGAAACCCAUAAUACAUUUGUAGGCCCGACCCUCAGAAGAAGCCGAAGAAGCAAGGACUUCCGACCUUCAUAAAUAUAUAUUAGGUUCGGCCAUCAAUGUACAAAGUAUCAGUUAGCUUAGUAGUAUAAAUGUUGGUGUUUAUAUCUCAAUAACCCGGGUUCGAGUCACGAGCUUGACAUUUUUUCACAUUUUUUAAAAGUGGGGCCCACGAAACGCUGACGUGGCGCGCUGAGGAGUGCGCAAAAACUCAACUAUUAUAAUAUAGAAGAACCCGAACUCAUGUUAAACGACAACAGUUUACAAUAUAGAAAAACCGUAAUUGUUGCAAACUUGAGCUUUUUUUUUUCAAAUAACGUGAUGAAUCCCAUUAAAAAAUGAAACCCAUAAUACAUUUGUAGGCCCAACCCUCAGAGGAAGCCGAAGAAGCAAGGGCUUCCGACCUUCAUAAAUAUAUAUUAGGUUCGGUCAUUAAUGUACAAAGUAUCAGUUAGUUUAGUGGUAUAAAUGUUGGUGUUUAUAUCUCAACAACCCGGGUUCGAGUUAUGAGCUUGACAUUUUUUCACACUUUUUAAAAGUGGGGUCCACGAAACGCUGACGUGGUGCGCUAAGGAGUGAUCAAAAACUCAACUAUUAUAAUAUAGAUUAAUAAUAAUAUAUCAAAGAUCGAUGGACGAGAAAAAUGCAUACACUUAAGCUAUAAGACGAGACUUGGAACGCCCAAACAAAAGAUAAGUCUUUGUUGAUAGUUGUGUUUUAACAAAACCGCAUACACUUUGGUUAAAGAUUUCUUAGUUUGAAACUGAGGAAAGUAGGUGAUGUAUCUUGAUUAAAAGUAUGGAUAAUGCACAAGUGGCUGUAACUUAGAAAAACAGUGUCAACUUAACGCCUAAGCAUACAACAAAAUCAAGACCUGGUUAUAGUUAAUUACUUACGUAUAUAGAAAUACAAAACACAAGCAUACGUUUUUGAGAGAUAUAGGGAUGAAGAAAAGGAGUGUGGUGAUAAUUAUUGUAGUGUUGGUGAUGGCUACCAUGGAACAAGAAGCACAAGGAAGUGACUGUUUUUUAUUGCUUGAACAAGUACCAUAAACAGGAUCCGAUCCUCCUUUCUGUAAGAAAAUAUUGUUUCGGCGACUGUGCUUUUCAAUGCAUGUUCUUCAAGAGUCGACCAAGCAAACAUCUCGCUGAAAUAACAUCUCUACGGG